GCCGACGUGGCUCGACGGAGAAAGGCAUCCGCCUUGUAAGCGGGUUCAUGCUGGUGCGAAUCCAGUCGUCGGCU
rnacentral:tRNA from 1 species